GAUGAACACUGGCGGCGUGCCUAAUACAUGCAAGUCGAGCGAACAGAUGAGGAGCUUGCUCCUCUGACGUUAGCGGCGGACGGGUGAGUAACACGUGGAUAACCUACCUAUAAGACUGGGAUAACUUCGGGAAACCGGAGCUAAUACCGGAUAAUAUAUUGAACCGCAUGGUUCAAUAGUGAAAGACGGUUUUGCUGUCACUUAUAGAUGGAUCCGCGCCGCAUUAGCUAGUUGGUAAGGUAACGGCUUACCAAGGCAACGAUGCGUAGCCGACCUGAGAGGGUGAUCGGCCACACUGGAACUGAGACACGGUCCAGAGUCCUACGGGAGGCAGCAGUAGGGAAUCUUCCGCAAUGGGCGAAAGCCUGACGGAGCAACGCCGCGUGAGUGAUGAAGGUCUUCGGAUCGUAAAACUCUGUUAUUAGGGAAGAACAAAUGUGUAAGUAACUAUGCACGUCUUGACGGUACCUAAUCAGAAAGCCACGGCUAACUACGUG
rnacentral:rRNA from 1 species